UGGGGAAUAUUGGACAAUGGGCGCAAGCCUGAUCCAGCCAUGCCGCGUGAGUGAUGAAGGCCCUAGGGUUGUAAAGCUCUUUCACCGGUGAAGAUAAUGACGGUAACCGGAGAAGAAGCCCCGGCUAACUUCGUGCCAGCAGCCGCGGUAAUGCGAAGGGGGCUAGCGUUGUUCGGAUUUACUGGGCGUAAAGCGCACGUAGGCGGACUUUUAAGUCAGGGGUGAAAUCCCGGGGCUCAACCCCGGAACUGCCUUUGAUACUGGAAGUCUUGAGUAUGGUAGAGGUGAGUGGAAUUCCGAGUGUAGAGGUGAAAUUCGUAGAUAUUCGGAGGAACACCAGUGGCGAAGGCGGCUCACUGGACCAUUACUGACGCUGAGGUGCGAAAGCGUGGGGAGCAAACAGG
rnacentral:rRNA from 1 species